CAGACAUGAUCGAUUUGACAAGAGGCCUAUUGGAUACAUGUGAAUGGAAAAGAGAUAGAGAAGAAAGAUGCUCUAUUGUAAAUCAGACUUUAGUCCCACAAAAGGGGUGCAAAUCCAUGGCCCGGAUUGCACUGAACCAAGUUGACUACUACACCAAGACGAUGAUCAGCUAAGUCCACGAGCUUCAGGUGAUCCUAUACAAGAUCCACUCGGAAGGUUUGGUUCUAAGUGAAAUUUUCUAAGUGGAAGCAAUCAUUGAGAAGUUAUCUCCUGAUUGAAAGGACUUCAAGAACUACCUGAAGUAUAAGCGGAAGAUGAACGUGGAAGAACUCAUUGUUAGACUUUGAAUUGAGGAAGACAAUAAGAGUAUCAAGAGAAAGUUGUGUUAGUUAGAGCCCUAGAACCGAUCAUUUGAUGAUUGUUGUAUAGACUCGUUGUAUCAUAUUCUUAUAUAUAUAUAAAGACAUUUGUUUAUGAUUAUUA